UCAAGAUCUGCAGCUCCAUUAUCUGGUUUUUCAGUUCUAUUACUUAGAUUACUUUGUGUAGCACACUGUUAAUAGUGGGUGUUAUGCAGACUACAGUGGUUGCGUGUAUGCGUAUGCCAACAGUUACUUAAUAAAAGUUCCACCAUGAGCAGCAUUCAUGUGGCUGCUAUGUGGUGCCUUCAUAAACACAGUUAAGUGAACUGCUGCAUUGAAAGAGUGCUUCUCGCUAUUUUCUGGAAAAGGUUGUCAAACAUGCACCGGUAUCUUGCCCAUUGUCUUCAUACUGCCCGACAAUUCUAUGAGGCGCUGCGAUCGGGCAGCCUACUGGGUAGCUGAGAUAGUAUAGAGCAACUGUUCUGGAAAAAUUUACCCUAGUUUGAUGCCUCGAUCAGGUUGAACUUUGCAAGAAACCAGUGCUGGUUUUCCCUUGUAGCUUCAUAAUACAGUCGAGUAGAUGAUAAUGUUUCUUUUUUAAAGAUUA